AGCGAACGCUGGCGGCGUGCUUAACACAUGCAAGUCGAGCGAAGGUGUUUCAAGGGUAACCUUGAGAUACACUUAGCGGCGGACGGGUGAGUAAUACGUGGAUAACUUACCUCUAGGCCUGGGAUAACCCCGGGAAACUGGGGCUAAUACCUGAUAAGACCACGUUGUCUACGGACAAAGGGGUAAAAGGUGGCUGUGCAAACAGCUAUCGCCAAAAGAUAGGUUCACGUCCCAUCAGGCAGUUGGGAGGUAAUGGCUCACCAAACCAAAGACGGGUAGCCGGCCUUGGCGGGUGAACGGCCACACGGGGACUGAGACACGGCCCCGACUCCUACGGGAGGCAGCAGUGGGGAAGUAUUGGGCAAUGGGCGCAAGCCUGACCCAGCGACGUCGCGUUGGGG
rnacentral:rRNA from 1 species